AACGUCGGCUGCAAUCUCCCAAUAAACUCAACAGAAGAAGAUGAAGCAUGGUGUCUGGAAAUGAAACGUGGGAGGAAUUCACAUUUUAUUAGGUUAAACAUGAAUGUAAUAGGUAGUCUUAUGUCUGUUUUUGAGUGUAAGUAAUAUAUUUUAACAGAUGUUUAUGACUUCUUAAAGUAUAGUUUGCUAGCGAUUAUAAACACAUAUUUAGCAAGUUAACGCACAGGCACGUACAGUUUACUUGCUGGUUAGCUAGCCGUGUUUCGAAAUGAAAUCUAAGGAUAAGACAAAUAAGUCGGGCUCAGUCGCCACUGCGAAAAUACAGAAGUCUACUUCAGAUCAAGCGACAAAGAAACCAGUUAAGAAAAAGAUAGCGUGGAAACAUGGUCCAAAGGAACCAGUAUCAAAGGUGAAGGAUCCCAACCCCUUGGUCCCCCCGAAAGAUGCCCAACACUUUUCAGCCAAUUGGAAAACGUUACUAAAAGUUCUAACGACUGACUCACCAUCAAAGAAGGGUAAACUACUCCAGCAGGACUCCAAGAAAAAUACCCCUCAAAUAAAGCCUGUCAAAGACAUUUCGAAACAGGCAGAAAACCAAAAAACGCCAUCAAAAGACACGCGCAGUAAUAAACCAUCACUGUCCAAAGCAGGGAAGGAGUUGACUGCUCCAGGCAGCUCUAAGGUAAACGGAUCAGGGAAAGGCCCUGCUCCGUCAGAGGUGAGGCAGCCCAAAGCCCAGAAAAGGAAAUGGGACAGCGUCAAAUCAGCAGGCAGCAGUGACCCGGCAGCAAAUAAGAAGAAAAAAAUAGAAGUGGCGGAGAACACAUCCAAAGAACCAGACCUCUGGUUUGACGACGUGGACCCCGACGACGUGGAAGCCACGGUGGGGGCGGAGGCAGCCAACAUCAUGAGGAGGAGGAUGGGCACUCCGAAGGCCAACCCCCAGGACACCGAGGAUGUCCUGGUGAAGUACAGGGCGUUCGACGGGAUGACCAACGUGGUGGCCAUGGACUGUGAGAUGGUGGGUGUGGGCCCGGAUGGGAAGGACAGCAUUGUGGCCCGCGUGUCCCUUGUCAACAAGCACGGCAAGUGCAUCUACGAUAAAUACGUCAAGCCCACGGAGCGAGUGACAGACUACCGCACCGAAUUCAGCGGCAUCCGGCCGAACGACAUCAAAAACGGUGAGAAUGUGAAGACUGUGCAGAGAGAGGUGGCUGAGAUCCUGGACGGGAGAAUACUAGUGGGCCACGCGAUACACAACGACCUCAAGAUCUUAUUCUUGACCCAUCCCAAGAAGAGCAUCAGAGACACUCAGAAGUAUAAACCAUUUAAGACAAUCGCUAAAACUAAUCGUCCGGCACUCCGGGUGUUGUGUCGGGAAGUACUGCAGGUGAAGGUCCAGCAGGGGGAGCACUCCUCGGUCCAAGAUGCCCAAGCCACCAUGAAACUAUACAGCAUGGUGAAAAAAGAAUGGGAAAAGGCCAUCAAAGACAAAAAAAAGGAUGUGAUCGGGAAGAUUGUGCGAAGGCCCAAAGCUCCCAAUAGCAAAUCAAAGUGACUGAAUUUACACUGAGGUGUUUUGCAAUGACUUCAGCUUCAGACCAGCUAUCGAAAUCGUAAUGAACUCGAUGUCUCUGACUAUGAAUGGAAACGGGCCUCAUUGUUUGGUUGAGCGUUGACCUGGGGAGUGUACUGAGGGAUCCGUGUCCGUAGGGUUCGAAGGUCAAACAAACCCUUUUAAAAUCCCCCUUGUCAGUCAGGAUCCUGUGUUUCCAAUCACAUCAUUCAAAAGCAACGGACAAGUUAAGGUAAUUCUGGUUAAUCCGUCUGCAUAUGCACACAUCCCGUACAGCAGAACACAAACUACUGGCAUGCUUUAAGGCUGGCUCUGCAACACCGUGGUGCUGCAAGUGCUGUUUUCUGCUUUAGACCAGAGUUAACACGACACAGUAUCACAAAUAGGCUUGGAUGGUGUUGUGUGUUCCAUGUCACGCAGAAAAACUGACUAGGGACGUCAAAUUCAACUGCCUAAAAAGACUAGCAUAUUCCGGUUUAACAGGCAACGGUUGACGAGUUUCAGGGGAACGACAAGGUUAUCAAAGUUUUACCUAUUUUUUUUACUUGGUGUGUUGCUGGUGUGUGUACCAAAGCUGGUUAGUGUGUGGAUUGUGCUUCAAUCCUGCAAUGCUGUUAGUUGGUGGUUACCCUGUUUACUGCACAGAUGAAAAUAAAUACCUGAGAACAGAUCAGUUAGUAGAUGGCUGUAUGGUUCUGAAAAGUCUUGGAGGAUAAUGGACAGCAAGAUUGCAGGGUUACUUUGCUCCGAGUCAGUGUUUGAGUAUUACAUACAGUAACAGAGACAUUGCUUCACUGUCACUCCAAAGGGAAAAGCAACCAAACUGCACCAGGAGAUAAAUAAGAAAAAACA